GGGGGAUCGGAUCUUGGAGCCUCCCGGCCACAUGUUCCUGAAAUAAACACUGACUGGAAGCUUAUCUUGUUCCUGUGCAUGUGUGUGUGGACUCCCAACAGGAAGUAGUGCACAAACUCCUGCAGCGUUCCUCCAUUUUUCUUUGGAUGCCGCACGAUGGUGUCCCGGCAUGCACUGCGUCUGCACACCCGCCUCCGUCUCUCUCUCUCUCUCUCUCUCUCUCUCUCUCUCUCUCUCUCUCUCUCUCUUCCUCUGGGAUGGUGCACCAGGCAGGCCCCACCUCCUAUUUCACCAUCAGCGUCUGUCUCCUCCCCCUCUUUCUCUUUCUCUCUGGCACUUCUUCUGCAGCCUCUCUUUCUGCUCCAGCCUCAUGCAAGGGGGAGACUUAGGGGGAGAAGAGAAGCGUGGAGGGGGAGGAAGGGGCCGGAGGGGUGGGGGGGAGUCUGCUGCUAUUUCUACAGUCAGUCCGGGCCUCCCCGCCACCGCCACCGCCGUCGCGGCCGUCACCCACCCUCCCCUUCCACAGACGGAUCUUUUCUUCCCUUUUUUUUUCACUCACCACAGGCUUUGGAUUUUAACCCUCUGCCUCCAACUUGCUGCAAGAAAAAGCUUGCAACAAGUUGCCUUUUCACACUUUUUUUGUGCACCCAUUUUUGAAAUUUCUCCACGCUUUGGACUAUGCUGUUUUUAAAGAUGUAAUUUAUUCUUUUUUUUUUUUUGCAUGACUAAAAAAAAAAAACUAUUUUUUGGAUUGAAAGAAGAGGAGGGUUCUGGUAAAAGCCGCUGACCUGGUCGGACCUGGUUCUGUUACUUGCAUGCUGCUUCCCGACUGGCACAGCGGGUCGAGCCAAGCCGAGCCGAGCCGAGCCGUUCCAGGUUGGCACUGCGAACAAAAGCAAUGAAGGGUAGCAAAUGUUAGUAAUUGCAGUUUUUAAUGUGAUUAUUUUGCAGCAGAUGGCUUUCGUGUGUGUCGUGGAGCUUGUGUGUGUGUGUGUGUGUGUGUGUGCGUCUGUGUCUGUAGCAGGCCUUGAAUACUUUUUUCAACUCAAGAAGUGAAGACAUCUCGCCAAGAGAUGACGAAGCAAGGGUUGCAAGCCAGCGGCAUGCAGAUAGCUUCAAUAUUCAUAAGUCAAGAGCACCAUACCUGGACCCAGACCUGGGUCCUAUGUUGCUUUGCAUCCGUUUUUAGUCUUAUUUGCUCAUAUUCAUGCGCUACUGGACUAGCAGCCUCAUGGCCUCCUAUUGUUUCAGGCCCGACUUGAACUCGGGGGCUCAGACCGCGGCCAGAGGAGGGAGCGAGGGCCAAAGCUGAGAUUGCGGGCCGGAACCGGGAAGAGAAGGGAGAAGUGGGUGGGGGGGGGGGACACACACAGGAGAGAGAAACCAGGCCUUCAGCGAACCUCGCAUCCUCCGAGACGGGAAGUUGUGACAUCGUCAAACACUGCCACCAGGCUGUGAAACCGUGGGCACCGCCCCUUGACAGGACGUCUACGUGGAUCUUUGGUCCGGCAUUGGAGUCUUAGACUGUCCUUUGGGGUGAGGUAGUAAGUUGUAUAGUUUUAGGGUCACACCCUUCCUGUCAGAUAACUAUACAACUUACUGUCUUUCCUGAAGCGGCUGGAAUGUCUUCUUACCCUGCAGCACCCCACCGUGGUAGAUGAGCGCAACUACACCUUGAUCAACGUUUGCACUCUGUGACCUUUCAGAGUCGCACUGCUUUGUUACCGCAGACAAACAUGUUGCCUCUGCUGUUUUUGUUUUCUAAGUGAUUGUGUUGGGCCUGGUUUGUGGUCAUGUGACAUUAGCCGAGAAGAAGACUUCCUGGUGUUCGUACGGGGUGAGGUAGUAGGUUGUGUGGUUUCAGGGUAGUGAUUUUGCCCAAUCAGGAGAUAACUAUACAACCUACUGCCUUCCCUGAAGGGCAGCAAUACGUCACCAGGCGCAAAGCCAAGCCAAGACCCCCCAGCACCCUACCCCCCCCCCACCCCCCACCCCCCAGCAGCAGCAGCACCUGCAGGUAAAGCCACACACAAUACUUAUGUCAUUG